UUGAUUGGUUGGGAAAAAUCCACAAUAAAAAAGGCGAAAGGCUACGAUAUCCUUCAGUACAGCCCAGAAACAUCAAGAGAAUCAUCGAGACUCAGUAGUUUUUGAUCUCAGCAAAAAUGCACCGUUCUUUGAUUGUGUUGAUGAUCAUUGUAUUGUUGACGACAACUCUGCAUGAAAGCGAAGGGUGGCGAAGACGAAGAAGGCGACGAAGAAAUGRUCUUACAUCCGAGGACGCCGAAGAAUUCAAGCAGAGACAAGAGAAUCGUAAACUGGCGAAUGAACGAGAAAUUUACGAAGACGACCAAUAUCAUGACCCAAAGGUUAAUUUUCACUGAACAAAAAAUCGGUCUUUGAUGUAAAUAUUUCUUGCAUCUGAGCAUAAUCAAUCAAAGCUCGAUCGGCAAUGCACAUGCAUUUUGUAUACUUUUGCUUUUUAAAACAUCUCCUACAGGAUUGUUUGAUGCAAUCCAUACAAUCCAAAAUCUGCAUUAGUUCUAAAGUAAUUAGUUGAAUUGUAAAUUAUUCAUACAACACAAAGAUAAGAAUAAAAUACUUUGAAAGACU